rnacentral:rRNA from 1 species
CCUACGGGCGGCUGCAGUGGGGAAUAUUGGACAAUGGGGGGAACCCUGAUCCAGCCAUGCCGCGUGUGUGAAGAAGGCCCUCGGGUUGUAAAGCACUUUCAGUGAGGAAGAACGCCUGGUGGUUAAUACCCAUCAGGAAAGACAUCACUCACAGAAGAAGCACCGGCUAACUCCGUGCCAGCAGCCGCGGUAAUACGGAGGGUGCGAGCGUUAAUCGGAAUUACUGGGCGUAAAGCGCGCGUAGGUGGCUUGAUAAGCCGGUUGUGAAAGCCCCGGGCUCAACCUGGGAACGGCAUCCGGAACUGUCAAGCUAGAGUGCAGGAGAGGAAGGUAGAAUUCCCGGUGUAGCGGUGAAAUGCGUAGAGAUCGGGAGGAAUACCAGUGGCGAAGGCGGCCUUCUGGACUGACACUGACACUGAGGUGCGAAAGCGUGGGUAGCAAACAGGAUUAGAUACCCGAGUAGUC